AACGAACGCUGGCGGCAUGCCUAACACAUGCAAGUCGAACGAGACCUUCGGGUCUAGUGGCGCACGGCUGCGUAACGCGUGGGAACCUGCCCUUAGGCUCGGAAUCACUCCCCGAAAGGGGUCCUAAUACCGGAUAAUGUCUUCGGACCAAAGAUUUAUCGCCUUUGGAUGGGCCCGCGUUGGAUUAGCUAGUUGGUAGGGUAAUAGCCUACCAAGGCGACGAUCCAUAGCUGGUCUGAGAGGAUGAUCAGCCACACUGGGACUGAGACACGGCCCAGACUCCUACGGGAGGCAGCAGUGGGGAAUAUUGGACAAUGGGCGAAAGCCUGAUCCAGCAAUGCCGCGUGAGUGAUGAAGGGCUUAGGGUUGUAAAGCUCUUUUACCCGGGAUGUUAAUGACAGUACCGGGAGAAUAAGCUCCGGCUAACUACGUG
rnacentral:rRNA from 1 species